GACGAACGCUGGCGGCGUGCUUAACACAUGCAAGUCGAACGGAAAGGCCCUGCUUUUGUGGGGUGCUCGAGUGGCGAACGGGUGAGUAACACGUGAGUAACCUGCCCUUGACUUUGGGAUAACUUCAGGAAACUGGGGCUAAUACCGGAUAGGAGCUCCUGCUGCAUGGUGGGGGUUGGAAAGUUUCGGCGGUUGGGGAUGGACUCGCGGCUUAUCAGCUUGUUGGUGGGGUAGUGGCUUACCAAGGCUUUGACGGGUAGCCGGCCUGAGAGGGUGACCGGCCACAUUGGGACUGAGACACGGCGCAGAAUCCUACGGGAGGCAGCAGUGGGGAAUAUUGUACAAUGGGCGGAAGCCUGAUGCAGCAACGCCGCGUGCGUGAUGACGGCCUUCGGGUUGUAAACCGCUUUCGCCUGUGACGAAGCGGGAGUGACGGUAAUGGGUAAAGAAGCACCGGCUAACUACGUG
rnacentral:rRNA from 1 species